GACAACCCUCCUCCACAGCCCGCCUCGGGCUUUGAACAGAAACAAAAUUUCCGUGGUUGGGAGCAGAGGGGGUCCCUGAAUUCCCAAAGGGCUGAAACCCCAGCCCCAAGGAGGCGUGGGCAGAGCCUGAGGCCCGAAGGGCUGGAAAUGGGAGUGGGAACGAGGGUGAAGGGAUCUCAGAGGUCACAUUUGCAGCCACCUCCAUCACAGCUAUACAGAACCCUGCCAUCACCAUGUGACCAAGCCCAGACAUGCCUGCUGGAGGAUGAGAGACCACACGGAGCAGAGAUGAAUCAGCUGGGGUCAUUCAAACCUCCAGCCCCCAGCCAACCCACCAGCUGAUCAAAGACACAUCAAGAUCAGAGUGAGCCCAACAAGAUCAGAAAAACCACCCAGCUGAGCCCAGCCCAAAUUGCUGGUCCUCAGAAUCAGAAACUAAGUAAACACUUUUUGUUUAAGGAUGUUAAAUUUGGGGGUAAUUUUUUAUGCUGCAGAAGCUAAUUGAUACACAUUAGCUCAUCUUCAUGUCAACAGCAAUAAUAAUAACUGAUAUUUAUUAUGUCCCAA